rfam:Schistosoma haematobium scaffold30_11, whole genome shotgun sequence.
AUCCAGCCGAUGAGUCCCAAAUAGAAUGACACGUGCGUCCUGGAU